rnacentral:lncRNA from 1 species
GCUGCACAACUUCACAUGGAGUUCCACAUUGUGGUAUAAUUCCAUCAACAUUGGUCCAUUCAAUUCCGAGAAAUAGCGUGGACAAAAUGUGUGGAAGAAUAAAAAUAAUAAGAAAAAAAGAAACGUAGAAUAACAAUAUGUCACCCCAACUCCGUUGAGGGUGCCAUAAUAAUAAGAAAAAAAAGAAACGUAGAAUAACAAUACGUCACCCCAACUCCGUUGAGGGUGCCAUAACUAGAAUUGCUAUUGCAAGCAAUAGCGGAUGUCACCCUUCCCCCCAUUGCCACUAAGCGGCAGCCAUUUCAAAAACUUUUAACAGUGAAUGGACAUAUUUGCAUGGCUAUACAUUUGUCUGUAAAUUUUCAGUGCAUUUAGAUCAUUUUUAAAAACAUGACAUUUUUGCUGUUUCCAUGGCAAUGGCAGCCAUUUUGAAAGUUUCAAAUUCAAAAGUCUCAUCUAUACAUGCCAGUUUACA